AUCAGNNGACGGAAGAUGGACUNCUCCUGAUGUUAGCGGCGGACGGGUGAGUAACACGUGGGUAACCUGCCUGUAAGACUGGGAUAACUCCGGGAAACCGGGGCUAAUACCGGAUGCUUGUUUGAACCGCAUGGUUCAAACAUAAAAGGUGGCUUCGGCUACCACUUACAGAUGGACCCGCGGCGCAUUAGCUAGUUGGUGAGGUAACGGCUCACCAAGGCAACGAUGCGUAGCCGACCUGAGAGGGUGAUCGGCCACACUGGGACUGAGACACGGCCCAGACUCCUACGGGAGGCAGCAGUAGGGAAUCUUCCGCAAUGGACGAAAGUCUGACGGAGCAACGCCGCGUGAGUGAUGAAGGUUUUCGGAUCGUAAAGCUCUGUUGUUAGGGAAGAACAAGUACCGUUCGAAUAGGGCGGUACCUUGACGGUACCUAACCAGAAAGCCACNGCUAACUACGUGCCANCAGCCGCGGUAAUACNUAGGUGGCAAGCGUUGUCCGGAAUUAUUGNGCGUAAAGGGCUCNCANGCNGUUUCUUAAGUCUGAUGUGAAAGCCCCCNNCUCANCCNGGGANGGUCAUUGNAAACUGGGGAACUU
rnacentral:rRNA from 1 species